rnacentral:rRNA from 1 species
GACGAACGCUGGCGGCGUGCUUAACACAUGCAAGUCGAACGGUGAAGCGCCUUCCUUUUUGGUGGGUGUGGAUGAGUGGCGAACGGGUGAGUAACACGUGAGUAACCUGCCCCCUUCUUCUGGAUAACCGCAUGAAAGUGUGGCUAAUACGGGAUAUUCUGGGUCUGUCGCAUGAUGGGUCUGGGAAAGAUAUUGUUUCGGUGGGGGAUGGGCUCGCGGCCUAUCAGCUUGUUGGUGGGGUGAUGGCCUACCAAGGCGGUGACGGGUAGCCGGCCUGAGAGGGUGGACGGUCACACUGGGACUGAGACACGGACCAGACUACUACGGGAGGCAGCAGUGGGGAAUAUUGCACAAUGGGCGCAAGCCUGAUGCAGCGACGCCGCGUGAGGGAUGGAGGCCUUCGGGUUGUGAACCUCUUUCGCCAGUGAAGCAGGCCUGCCUCGUUUGUGGGUGGGUUGACGGUAGCUGGAUAAGAAGCGCCGGCUAACUACGUG